GUGCUUGUAGUAUUGUGAAUUGCCCACAGUUUGUGGUAUUAUGUAAUCUAAGCUGUAUAUCUGGUUGACUGAAUGUUUUCUGGACGCGGGUUCGACUCCCGCCGUCUCCACCAACAGCGUAUUUGUGUUAGUGCAUUUGCUGCGAUAUCCGCAAGGCCGGUUCAAGUAUGCUGCUGAUGGGGACGCCAUGGUUUCGACAGGAAAAGAUAGGAAGAUCGGCAGCCGGUAGGCGAUGACCGUAAAUCAAGCAAAACCUUUAAAUGCAAAUGACGAAAGUUACGCAUUAGCAGCCUAAUACUGGCUAGCUAGGAGCUUUAUCCACUUGGCAACAGAACGGAUAAAAAAGGGAGCUUCGGCUCCCUUUUUCA
rnacentral:tmRNA from 1 species